UGGUCGGGAUAGCUCAGCUGGUA
rnacentral:tRNA from 9 species